rnacentral:misc_RNA from 1 species
AAAAAAAAAAAAAAAAAUGUUAAACAUUAACUGUUUGUGGGCUUGAAUGUAUAAGGCUGUGGAAGUGACAAUGGACCUCUCCUGGAAUCUUUGUCAUCCAAUAACCUCUGCACCCUCUUGUUCUUGCAGUACAGCCGAUCAAAAUGCUUCACCCAAGAAGCGCGACAAUUCUUCUCAAAUUCCAUUCUCGAGCCUUUACAUUCCAAUGGGUACAGAAGUCCCACCGAGCCAAUUUCCGUAGGUUUCUUGGCGGAUUCCUUCUCCAAGCAGGCAUAAAAAGCAUCACGAG